GCUCCUGAAUGGUGUAACCCCACUGGUUCUGAGAGUGGUGUGGAUCCCAGUAUCCUGUCUGUCUCUUCAACCUGAUGAAUCGCUUCGCCUCCUCCUCCUUUGCGAACGGGGCGGCAAACACCCCUGAACACAACGGUUUUUACCACCGACCAGCCACAGAGGAGUGAAUGGCUUCAAGCAUCAGGCCAGACGCUCAAGAUCUAACUUGACCUUUCCAGUUGCGAAGGAUGACCCUGGCAGCUGGGUUAGAGCAAAUGCUGGUUUGGGGAUGUUGGGUAGACAUGACGUGUCCCCCAUGAGGCAAAGUUGAACUGAUUCAGGAACAGGCACACCCAGCCACUCUUGUAUUGUUUUGUCUCUCUACAGAAAGGCAGAACUUAAGGACAGGCCCACAUUACCUGGAUAAAGGUGCCUUCCUGCCUUUUACAUUUCCAGCAUAGAUUAUUUUCUAGUAAACCAAUUUUAUGAAGACGGACAGGUGUAGAAUAAUAUCGAUAAAUUGUCUUGUAAAGCAGCAUGCACUGGAAAUUAUCCUUG